AGCUGCGGGAGGCAGCUAGACAGACAAGAGCAGAGCGAGGACGAUGGGCCAGGUACAGAAGGUCACCAGGGCGGAAAGCCCCGGGUGCCUAGCAACAGACAAAUUUGGUAAAACCAGGACCUC